GGGCAGUGAUGAGUAUCAGAGAAAGUCAUGCACCACUCUGAUGAUUUUUAUCAAUCUGUGCUGAUAAAUUUCUCGUACCCAUUCAAUCUGAGCCC